GACGAACGCUGGCGGCGUGCCUAAUACAUGCAAGUCGAACGCUUCUUUCCUCCCGAGUGCUUGCACUCAAUUGGAAAGAGGAGUGGCGGACGGGUGAGUAACACGUGGGUAACCUACCCAUCAGAGGGGGAUAACACUUGGAAACAGGUGCUAAUACCGCAUAACAGUUUAUGCCGCAUGGCAUAAGAGUGAAAGGCGCUUUCGGGUGUCGCUGAUGGAUGGACCCGCGGUGCAUUAGCUAGUUGGUGAGGUAACGGCUCACCAAGGCCACGAUGCAUAGCCGACCUGAGAGGGUGAUCGGCCACACUGGGACUGAGACACGGCCCAGACUCCUACGGGAGGCAGCAGUAGGGAAUCUUCGGCAAUGGACGAAAGUCUGACCGAGCAACGCCGCGUGAGUGAAGAAGGUUUUCGGAUCGUAAAACUCUGUUGCUAGAGAAGAACAAGGACGUUAGUAACUGAACGUCCCCUGACGGUAUCUAACCAGAAAGCCACGGCUAACUACGUGCCAGCAGCCGCGGUAAUACGUAGGUGGCAAGCGUUGUCCGGAUUUAUUGGGCGUAAAGCGAGCGCAGGCGGUUUCUUAAGUCCGAUGUGAAAACCCCCGGCUCAACCGGGGAGGGUCAUUGGAAACUGGGAGACUUGAGUGCAGAAGAGGAGAGUGGAAUUCCAUGUGUAGCGGUGAAAUGCGUAGAUAUAUGGAGGAACACCAGUGGCGAAGGCGGCUCUCUGGUCUGUAACUGACGCUGAGGCUCGAAAGCGUGGGGAGCAAACAGG
rnacentral:rRNA from 1 species